rnacentral:rRNA from 1 species
CGGAGGGAUCAUUACUGAGUUUACGCUAUACAACCCUUUGUGAACAUACCUAUAACUGUUGCUUCGGCGGGUAGGGUCUCCGUGACCCUCCCGGCCUCCCGCCCCCGGGCGGGUCGGCGCCCGCCGGAGGAUAACCAAACUCUGAUUUAACGACGUUUCUUCUGAGUGGUACAAGCAAAUAAUCAAAACUUUUAACAACGGAUCUCUUGGUUCUGGCAUCGAUGAAGAACGCAGCGAAAUGCGAUAAGUAAUGUGAAUUGCAGAAUUCAGUGAAUCAUCGAAUCUUUGAACGCACAUUGCGCCCGCCAGCAUUCUGGCGGGCAUGCCUGUUCGAGCGUCAUUUCAACCCUCAAGCUCUGCUUGGUGUUGGGGCCCUACAGCUGAUGUAGGCCCUCAAAGGUAGUGGCGGACCCUCCCGGAGCCUCCUCUGCGUAGUAACUUUACGUCUCGCACUGGGAUCCGGAGGGACUCUUGCCGUAAAACCCCCAAUUUUCCAAA